CAAUUUCUAUUAAUUGUUCAUAUUAAUGUGGCUGGAAAUAACAUAUCCAUUGGGAAAAAUAAUCUGACAGCAUUACAUUUCUUCAAACAAACUGACCGAAAGUGAGAAAAUGCAGCAUCAUAGAGUGAAGAUAUGUCCAUUAUUCUGACGGUCAUGCCGAAGCCAACUGUAAAAAAUAGAAAACAACACGUUUAAUAAUUCCAUGCGUCCGUAUAAGUACCGAAACCGUUGAAGAGCUAUAUAACAAAAAUAAAUAGCCAAAUUCAUCUAAAGUCAACCUUAGUUUCUUAAUAAUUACAAAAUUUAUAAAUGGCCAAUUUUAGAAAAGUUUGUUAUAUCAUGUCGGUACCGACGUACUGACUACCGAGCUGAUGAUACCUUCGGGGACUUAUAGUCCACCAGCAGAGGUAUCGACCCAGUGAUUGAAAACAACACGUGUUAUAAUUCCAUGCGUUCGAAGCGCUUUUCUGGAUUUACCUUCAUCAGGAACGCUCAAAGCCAAAGAAUUGAAAUCCGAGGAUGUAUAAGCCAAAACCGUUGAAGAGCUAUAUAACAAAAAUACCUAAAAUAAAUAGCCAAAUUAUUUUUACUCGUAUUUAAUUGCUGAAAAUUGCGUUAUCAGAAUAAACUAAGUUAUCUCUCUUUGUUAAGUGACACUUAAUUUUAAUAGGAAUAUAGAAGAUUGGAUAUAUUCAUCUCCCAUGUAUUUUUUUUUAUCCUCACG
rnacentral:lncRNA from 1 species